rfam:Arabidopsis thaliana chromosome 1, complete sequence.
GUCACCUUCGGGUACCUCAUGUAAAAUUGAAGAUACAAAGAAGAUUAGCAUGACUUCUACACAAGGAUGAAAAGCUCAAAUUGAGAAUUUGUCCAACUUUUU